rnacentral:lncRNA from 1 species
GGGGUGUGUCUGGUCGGGCUGAGUGUGGAGGGAGGAAGGCGGUGGCUUGCUGCUAAUAGCGGCGGCUUCACUUCUGCCGGCUGGAUUCAGGGAGUGGACGGGAGAUAAGGAUAGCAGAGGGGGUGAUUAGGGUCUGGAGCGGCGGCGGCCAUGGCUCCGGUUAUGGUCGCCGGAAACGAGGAAGACGCGGCGAGGCAUAGGCCUUGUCGCUGCGGUCACCGGGAGAGGAGAGAGGGAGAUCUGUGAUUGUGUGUGUCUGGGUGUACAUCGCCAGGGAGAGAGAGAAAAUGGGAGAGUGAGAGGAGGGUGACACCGGUGGCGGUCGAAGGCGGCGAGGAAAAUGCCGAAGAGGGGAUUGGGUGGCGUUUGUCUGUGUGUGCCGGUGUGUGCGCGUAGAGAGUGAGAGAGCAGAGAGGGAAAU